CUUGGUCAUUUAGAGGAAGUAAAAGUCGUAACAAGGUUUCCGUAGGUGAACCUGCGGAAGGAUCAUUACCGAGUGAGGGCCCUCUGGGUCCAACCUCCCACCCGUGUUUAAUCGUACCUUGUUGCUUCGGCGGGCCCGCCUCACGGCCGCCGGGGGGGUUUUCCCCUCUGGCCCGCGCCCGCCGAAGACACCAAUGAACGCUGUCUGAAGCUUGCAGUCUGAGCAGAUUUAGCAAAAUCGUUAAAACCUUCAACAACGGAUCUCUUGGUUCCGGCAUCGAUGAAGAACGCAGCGAAAUGCGAUAAGUAAUGUGAAUUGCAGAAUUCAGUGAAUCAUCGAAUCUUUGAACGCACAUUGCGCCCCCUGGUAUUCCGGGGGGCAUGCCUGUCCGAGCGUCAUUGCUGCCCUCAAGCACGGCUUGUGUGUUGGGCCCUCGCCCCCCGGCUCCCGGGGGGCGGGCCCGAAAGGCAGCGGCGGCACCGCGUCCGGUCCUCGAGCGUAUGGGGCUUUGUCACCCGCUCGUGUAGGCCCGGCCGGCGCCAGCCGACACCCAUCAAUCUUACCCAGGUUGACCUCGGAUCAGGUAGGGAUACCCGCUGAACUUAAGCAUAUCAAUAAGCGGAGGA
rnacentral:rRNA from 1 species